rnacentral:misc_RNA from 1 species
ACUUUAUGUAUUUGGAUGUAUUCAAUUUGCUUAUUGAGAAAUACCUCACAGCUAACUCUACUUCAGAGCAUUAUUUUUUAUCUAUGUUUGAUGAUCAAAUCAAUAUUAGGAAAGGACUCGUCUCUUACGGUUAACAAUUCCGAAAGCGAUUUAUUAUUAACGCGCUCCGAAGAUUUAUCUAGUGAGGGAUGGAGGUAUAGUUGCAGUGGUUACGUCCAGAAACAUGACUUUGACCAGCAAUCACAACAAAGGAAAGUGAUGAGCGCUGGAUCAAUUUCAAUCCGAGGACAAAAGUCUUCUUCGUCAAACAGCUUUAACUCCAAUAUGUUCAAUGUUGAUUUCACAACGUACACACCAACACAUCAAUGGACAAAAACUUUGGAUUGCGCUGAAUUUGUGGGAGCAAAGCGAAGUAAGCACACAGUCGUUGCAUAUAAAGAUGCGAUGUAUGUUUUUGGCGGAGACAAUGGAAAAAAUAUGCUAAACGAUUUGAUAUGCUUUGGCGUGAAAGAUAAAUCGUGGGGGCGAGCAUAUGCAACUGGUUCAGCUCCUGCUCCUCGUUAUCAUCAUACAGCGGUAGUUUAUGGAAAUUCAAUGUUUAUUUUUGGUGGAUACACUGGAGAUAUUUAUUCAAAUUCCAAUUUAACUAAUAAAAACGAUUUAUUCGAAUACAAAUUUCAAAGUGCACAAUGGGUUGAGUGGAAAUUCGUUGGAAAGCAACCAGUCCCACGUUCGGCACAUGGGGCUGCUGUCUACGAUCAGAAGUUAUGGAUAUUCGCUGGAUACGAUGGUAAUGCUCGUUUAAAUGAUAUGUGGACAGUGCCUCUGGAUACUGAAACUCAUCAAUGGGAAGAAAUAGAACAGAAAGGAGAUCGACCACCAACUUGUUGUAAUUUUCCAGUUGCAGUUGCUCGAGAUUGCAUGUAUGUUUUUUCUGGACAGAGUGGUCUUCAAAUUACCAAUGAUUUGUUUGAAUUUCAUUUCAAAACAAAAACCUGGCGGAAAAUAGCCAACGAGCACGUUUUACGGGGAGCAUGCCCACCUCCGUCACGUCGUUAUGGUCACACUAUGGUGCAUCAUGAUCGAUUUCUCUACGUGUUUGGAGGUUCGGCUGACUCUACUUUGCCAAACGAUCUACAUUGUUAUGAUCUCGAUUCGCAAUGCUGGUCAGUUAUUAUUCCGGAAGCAAACUCAAAUGUUCCUUCAGGACGAGUUUUCCAUGCAUCGGCAGUUAUUGGCGAUGCCAUGUACAUUUUUGGCGGAACUGUUGAUAAUAGUAUACGUCGGGGUGAUACAUACCGUUUUCAAUUUUCUAGUUACCCACGGUGUACCCUACGAGAUGAUUUCGGGAAAUUUUUCAAUGAUCGACAAUUCUGCGAUAUUCAAUUUGUUAUUGGCCCCGAAGAAAUCAAGAUCUCUGCCCAUAUUGCUUUGGUUGCAGCGCGCUCCAAGUUUCUGAGAAACAAGAUAUUGUCUGCUCGAGAUGCUAGAAAUCAACACUUAGAAAAAGUAUACGGCGCUUUAGAUAUACCGUUUUCUGAUCGCCCUAUAGUUGAAGUUCGGCUGCCUAAUGCAACGACAGAGGCCUUCGAGAUUCUCCUCAACUACAUCUACACAGAUAAAAUCGAUUUGAAAGAAUCAUACGCCAAGAAUAUUGUUAUACUCAUAACAGAUAUAUAUCAGCUUGCUGGUCAGUUUUUAAUGCCGCGGUUAGCACAAGGUUGUCUUCAGUACUUGGAAUUUAAAAUUUCAAAAAGCAACGUCUUAGAGGCACUUUAUAAUGCAGAUAAAACAAAGAUACAAAUAAUAAAAGACUAUUGCAUGGCGUUCAUAGUAAAAGAUGACAAUUUUAGUGAUGUUGUAAUGUCAAGUGAAUUUGGUGAUCUUGAUAAACCUUUGUUGGUUGAAAUAAUUCGAAAAAAAUUAAACCCCGGGAAGCUACAAAUAGAGACAAACUAUGAUAAAAAUAUUGGUUCAACUCUAGAAGCCGAUAUGGCCGUUUUUCUUGAAUCAAUGGGGAAAGAUUUCUGCGACAUUAACCUUGUGCUAGAUGGACACAAAAUUCCAGCACAUAAAUCGAUAUUGUCAGCACGCUGCUCAUAUUUCCAGGCGAUGUUUCGAUCAUUUAUGCCCCCGGAUAAUAUAGUUAAUAAUUGUUUUCCUUUUAGAUACAAAUUGGUGACGUUUCUCCCUCUUUGGAAGCCUUCAAUUCUCUUCUACGCUAUAUUUACUACGGAGAGACUAAACUGCCGCCGCAAGAUGCAUUAUAUCUAUUCCAGGCUCCAUCAUUUUAUGGAUUAUCAAACAAUCGUUUACAAUCUUUUUGUAAAUACUCUCUAGAACAUAAUAUAACAUAUGAAAAUGUACUACAAACGCUUGAAGCUGCGGAUAUAACAAAAGUGUAUGAUAUCAAAGAACAUGCUUUGAAACUUAUAGUCAAAGAGUUUUCAACGCACGUUUACCCAAAAUGUCCACUCUUAGCCGAGAACUCUUGUUAGAAAUUAUUCAAGCUGUCGCCGACGCCCAUGGAGAAGUUCUUAUGUCAAAUGACUUAUCUUCAAUCAGUAUAAAUACCGAGCUUUGAAAGUUGAUAUU